UACGUAGGGUGCAAGCGUUGUCCGGAAUUAUUGGGCGUAAAGAGCUCGUAGGCGGUUUGUCGCGUCUGCUGUGAAAACUCGGGGCUUAACUCCGGGCCUGCGGUGGGUACGGGCAGACUAGAGUGCGGUAGGGGAGACUGGAAUUCCUGGUGUAGCGGUGAAAUGCGCAGAUAUCAGGAGGAACACCGAUGGCGAAGGCGGGUCUCUGGGCAGUAACUGACGCUGAGGAGCGAAAGCGUGGGGAGCGAACAGG
rnacentral:rRNA from 1 species